CCUACGGGGGGCUGCAGUGGGGAAUCUUGCGCAAUGGGCGAAAGCCUGACGCAGCGACGCCGCGUGAGCGAAGAAGGCCUUCGGGUCGUAAAGCUCAGUCAUUGGGGAUGAGAUGACAGUACCCAAGGAGCAAGCCCCGGCUAACUACGUGCCAGCAGCCGCGGUAAGACGUAGGGGGCGAGCGUUGUCCGGAAUUACUGGGCGUAAAGAGCACGUAGGCGGGUGUUUAAGUCAGGUGUGAAAGACCGCAGCCUAACUGCGGGGUUGCACUUGAAACUGAAUAUCUUGAGGGCAGGAGAGGUCAGUGGAAUUCCUGGUGUAGCGGUGAAAUGCGUAGAAAUCCGGAGGAACACCAGUGGCGAAGGCGACUGACUGGACUGACCCUGACGCUGAGGUGCGAAAGCGUGGGUAGCAAACAGGAUUAGAUACCCUUGUAGUC
rnacentral:rRNA from 1 species